CCUGGGCAUGGUGGCAUGCACCCGUAAUCCCAGCUACUCAGGAGGCUGAGGCAGGAGAAUGGCUUGAACUUGGGAGGCAGAGGAUGCAGUGAGCCAAGAUUGUGCCACUGCACUCCAGCCUGGGUGACAGAGCGGGACUCCGUCUCAAAAAAAAAAAAAAAAAAAAAAAAGCUUAUUACUUUUUUUUUUUUGAGACGGAGUUUCGCUUUUGUCACCCAGGCUGGAGUGCAAUGGGGCGAUCUCGGCUCACUGCAACUUCUGCCUCCUGGGUUCAAGUGAUUCUCCUGCCUCA
rnacentral:sRNA from 1 species